GGCUUCGUAGCUUAGCUGAUAGAGCGCUUGCCACGUUGAGGCACGAUGGUUCUGUCGCUGGUUCGAAUCUAGCCGAAGCCC